ACAGUUAAAAAAUUAUAUUUGGUGCUUGCUUAGAAUGAUACAGAGGUUAGCAUGGCCCCUGCGCAAGGAUGAUACUCAAAUUCAUGAAGAAUUCCAUAUUUUA